rnacentral:rRNA from 1 species
GACGAACUGUCCUAACGUUGUUCGGAAUCACUGGGCUUAAAGGGCGCGUAGGCGGUCCGACAAGUCAGGGGUGAAAUCCUGCAGCUUAACUGUAGAAGUGCCUUUGAUACUGUCGGUCUUGAGGGAGAUAGGGGUGUGCGGAACUUCCAGUGGAGCGGUGAAAUGCGUUGAUAUUGGAAGGAACGCCGGAGGCGAAAGCGGCGCACUGGAUCUCUUCUGACGCUGAGGCGCGAAAGCUAGGGGAGCAAAGCGGG